rnacentral:rRNA from 1 species
GCAGCAGGCACGCAAAUUACCCACUCCCGGCACGGGGAGGUAGUGACGAAAAAUACUAGUACGGGACUUUUACGAGGCCCCGUCAUUGGCACGAGUGUAAUUUAAAGACGUGCACGAGGACCCAUUGGAGGGCAAGUCUGGUGCCAGCAGCCGCGGUAAUUCCAGCUCCAAUAGCAUAUAUUAAAGUUGCUGCGUUUAAAAUGCUCGUAGCUGGCGUUGGGUGACGGUAGUACGGGAAGAGCUUUUACUAGCUCGGUACCGUCGCUGUCCGUCCACCUUGGCGGCGCUUUCUAUAAACGAAUCCGCCGCAUAUUACUUUGAAAAAACUAGAGUGCUCAAGGCGGGCAACGAGCCUGCUUAAAUAACAGCAGCAUGGAAUAAUGGAAGAAGACCGCGGGUCCGAUUCUGUUGGUCUUUCGUCCCGAGGUAAUGACUAAGAGGGACGGAUGGGGGCAUUCGUAUUGCUGGGCGAGCGGUGAAAUGCGUUGACCCUAGCAAGACGGCCAAAUGCGAAAGCAUCUGCCAAAGAUGUUUUCAUUAGUCAAGGACGAAGGCUACGGGAUCGAAGGCGAUUAGAUACCGCCGUAGUCGUAGCAGUAAACGAUGCCGACCAGCGAUCCGCCAGCGUUCCUCCAAUGACCUGGCGGGCAGCUUCCGGGAAACCAAAGUCUUUGGGUUCCUGGGGAAGUAUGGUUGCAAAACUGAAACUUAAAGGAAUUGACGGAAGGGCACCACCAGGAGUGGAGCCUGCGGCUUAAUUUGACUCAACACGGGGAAUCUCACCCGGCCCGGACACCGAAAGGAUUGACAGAUUGAUUGGCUCUUUCUCGAUACGGUGGGUGGUGGUGCAUGGCCGUUCUUAGUUGGUGGAGCGAUUUGUCUGGUUAAUUCCGAUAACGAACGAGACUCUAACGCGGUCUAACUAGACGCUCGCGUCGUAUACGUGCGACGAGGGUAAAAUCGAAGUUUUCUUCUUAGAGGGACCGGCGGCGAUAAGCCGCACGAGAUUGAGCGAUAACAGGUCAGUGAUGCCCUUAGAUGUCCGGGGCCGCACGCGCGCUACACUGAAGGAAUCAACGAGUGCUAUCGCACGCAUAAUCGGCCGCGGCCGAAAGGUCGCGGUAAUCCGUUGAAACUCCUUCGUGACUGGGACCGGGCUUUGCAAUUCUUGCCCACGAACGAGGAAUUCCCAGUAAGCGCGAGUCAUCAGCUCGCGUUGAAUACGUCCCUGCCCUUUGUACACACCGCCCGUCGCUAAAAAUGAUCGAGCGAUCGAGUGAGGUCUUCGGACCGUGCGGAGCUCUCGAAGCUCACGCCGGAAAGAAGAACGAAUUGACCGCUUAGA